UACAGAGGGUGCGAGCGUUGUUCGGAAUUAUUGGGCGUAAAGGGCGCGUAGGCGGCCCGGCAAGUCUGUGGUGAAAGCUCAGGCUCAACUCUGAGUCGGCCACGGAUACUGCGGGGCUCGAGCACGGUAGAGGCAGGUGGAAUUCCGGGUGUAGCGGUGAAAUGCGUAGAGAUCGGAAAGAACACCAACGGCGAAAGCACUCUGCUGGGCCGACCACUGACACUGAGAGACGAAAGCUAGGGGAGCGAAG
rnacentral:rRNA from 1 species